GAUGAACGCUGGCGGCGUGCCUAAUACAUGCAAGUCGAGCGAACAGAUGAGGAGCUUGCUCCUCUGACGUUAGCGGCGGACGGGUGAGUAACACGUGGAUAACCUACCUAUAAGACUGGGAUAACUUCGGGAAACCGGAGCUAAUACCGGAUAAUAUAUUGAACCGCAUGGUUCAAUAGUGAAAGACGGUUUUGCUGUCACUUAUAGAUGGAUCCGCGCCGCAUUAGCUAGUUGGUAAGGUAACGGCUUACCAAGGCAACGAUGCGUAGCCGACCUGAGAGGGUGAUCGGCCACACUGGAACUGAGACACAGUCCAGACUCCUACGGGAGGCAGCAGUAGGGAAUCUUCCGCAAUGGGCGAAAGCCUGACGGAGCAACGCCGCGUGAGUGAUGAAGGUCUUCGGAUCGUAAAACUCUGUUAUUAGGGAAGAACAAAUGUGUAAGUAACUAUGCACGUCUUGACGGUACCUAAGCAGAAAGCCACGGCUAACUACGU
rnacentral:rRNA from 1 species